rnacentral:rRNA from 1 species
CUACGGGAUGCUCCAGUGAGGAAUAUUGCACAAUGGGGGGAACCCUGAUGCAGCAACGCCGCGUGGAGGAUGACGCAUUUCGGUGUGUAAACUCCCUUUAUAUGUCAAGAAAAUGACGGUAGCAUAUGAAUAAGCACCGGCUAACUCCGUGCCAGCAGCCGCGGUAAUACGGAGGGUGCAAGCGUUACUCGGAAUCACUGGGCGUAAAGGACGCGUAGGCGGGUUAGAAAGUCAGGUGUGAAAUCCUACAGCUUAACUGUAGAACUGCACUUGAAACUUCUAAACUAGAGUAUGGGAGGGGGAGAUGGAAUUAGUGGUGUAGGGGUAAAAUCCGUAGAUAUCACUAGGAAUACCUAAAGCGAAGGCGAUCUCCUGGAACAUUACUGACGCUAAGGCGUGAAAGCGUGGGGAGCAAACAGGAUUAGAUACCCCCGUAGUC